UACAGAGGGGGCAAGCGUUGUUCGGAAUUACUGGGCGUAAAGGGCGCGUAGGCGGCCUGUUAAGUCGAACGUGAAAUCCCCCGGGCUCAACCCGGGAACUGCGUCCGAUACUGGCAGGCUUGAAUCCGGGGAGAGGGAUGUGGAAUUCCAGGUGUAGCGGUGAAAUGCGUAGAUAUCUGGAGGAACACCGGUGGCGAAGGCGGCAUCCUGGACCGGUAUUGACGCUGAGGCGCGAAAGCCAGGGGAGCAAACGGG
rnacentral:rRNA from 1 species